UACAGAGGUCUCAAGCGUUGUUCGGAUUCAUUGGGCGUAAAGGGUGCGUAGGCGGCGCGGUAAGUCGGGUGUGAAGUCUCGGCGAGCUUAACUCCGAAACUGCAUUCGAUACUGCCGUGCUUGGAGGACUGGAGAGGAGACUGGAAUUUACGGUGUAGCGGUGAAAUGCGUAGAUAUCGUAAGGAAGACCAGUGGCGAAGGCGGGUCUCUGGACAGUUCCUGACGCUGAGGCACGAAGGUCAGGGGAGCAAACGGGAUUAGAAACCCC
rnacentral:rRNA from 1 species